rnacentral:rRNA from 1 species
CCUACGGGAGGCAGCAGUGAGGAAUAUUGGUCAAUGGACGCAAGUCUGAACCAGCCAUGCCGCGUGCAGGAAGACGGCUCUAUGAGUUGUAAACUGCUUUUGUACGAGGGUAAACGCAGAUACGCGUAUCUGUCUGAAAGUAUCGUACGAAUAAGGAUCGGCUAACUCCGUGCCAGCAGCCGCGGUAAUACGGAGGAUUCAAGCGUUAUCCGGAUUUAUUGGGUUUAACGGGUGCGUAGGCGGUUGGUUAAGUUAGAGGUGAAAUCCCGAGGCUCAACUUCGGAAUUGCAUCUGAUACUGUUCGGCGAGAGAGUAGUUGCGGUGGGCAGAAUGUAUGGUGUAGCGGUGAAAUGCUUAGAGAUCAUACAGAACACCGAUUGCGAAGGCAGCUUACCAAGCUACUUCUGACGUUGAGGCACGAAAGCGUGGGGAGCAAACAGGAUUAGAUACCCGAGUAGUC